UACAGAGGGUGCGAGCGUUGUUCGGAAUUACUGGGCGUAAAGCGCGCGCAGGCGGCUCUUUAAGUCUACCCGUGAAAUGCCGGAGCUCAACUCCGCGCACGCCGGGGGAUACUGGAGGGCUGGAGACAUGUAGAGGCAAGCGGAAUUCCGGGUGUAGCGGUGGAAUGCGUAGAGAUCCGGAAGAACACCGGUGGCGAAGGCGGCUUGCUGGGCAUGGUCUGACGCUGAGGCGCGAAAGCGUGGGGAGCGAACAGGAUUAGAAACCCCCGUAGUCC
rnacentral:rRNA from 1 species